UGCGCAGCAGGAGGUCUGGGCGAGGUGGUGGUCUGGUGACGCGGCUUGAUGGCGGCCUUCUCGUGACAUUGUCCCUUCUUUAGCAGGCGAGGAGAAGACAAGAAGUCAGCUGAUCCGCACUGAUGCUGCGAGGAGGCUGCGGGGACAUCUGAGGAGAAGGAAGAACGACGACCAUGAUGAGCUUCAUCGAGUGCGUGCGUGAAAAAGUUCAUUUAGAAAUAGACACUUUGAAAGAAGCAGGAAGGCGUCCAAAGUUGAUUUCCUGAGCAGCCUACCUCCGUUCCCGCUUUACGAGCUGUGUGUCCCGUCUCCCCUGUGUUCCCCUCUGGUUCUCCGGCUGCACCUUUGGAUCUUGACCUCCCGCCUCGAUGCGGAUUUUCACACCUCUCUAUUGCCCCCGACUUCAUGCCUGCUCACGAAUCUCCGAGCCAGCCUUGCCCCUUUUUGGACUUCCGCCUCUCGCUCAACACUACAGAAGGGCAGAAAACUGUGAAGGUUUGCUGGCAUCGUGGUGCGGGUUUGUUCUCUCUAUGAUGCAGUCGGAUUGGACACAGUGUGACGUCUUGCCUCCUAGUGUGACGGUAGCGUGGCAUUGUGAUGAUGCGGGUCGUUCUCUCAGGGUGCGGUCGGGCUCGAACACAGCGUGAAGACUAAAACGAGGCCCUGUGAGCAGCAAAGGGUGAAGCAGACUUGUGGAGGUUGGAGAAAGGACUCUGAGGCAGCAGAUGUCUGAGAUGGAAGUGGAACAAACACGAGAAGAACCGUCAAUGUUGACUGGAGCUCCGCUGACAAAAAUGACACAACAUUGUCGAGUUGAAUUUGAGGAGCAAUAAAUUCAGAGGAACAAA